GACGAACGCUGGCGGCGUGCUUAACACGUGCAAGUCGAACGGAAAGGCCCUGCUUUUGUGGGGUGCUCGAGUGGCGAACGGGUGAGUAACACGUGAGUAACCUGCCCUUGACUUUGGGAUAACUUCAGGAAACUGGGGCUAAUACCGGAUAGGAGCUCCUGCUGCAUGGUGGGGGUUGGAAAGUUUCGGCGGUUGGGGAUGGACUCGCGGCUUAUCAGCUUGUUGGUGGGGUAGUGGCUUACCAAGGCUUUGACGGGUAGCCGGCCUGAGAGGGUGACCGGCCACAUUGGGACUGAGAUACGGCCCAGACUCCUACGGGAGGCAGCAGUGGGGAAUAUUGCACAAUGGGCGGAAGCCUGAUGCAGCAACGCCGCGUGCGGGAUGACGGCCUUCGGGUUGUAAACCGCUUUCGCCUGUGACGAAGCGUGAGUGACGGUAAUGGGUAAAGAGGCACCGGCUAACUACGUG
rnacentral:rRNA from 1 species